CGCUGCCGUCACUCUCUUCAUUCUCUCUCUUGCUUUAUUUUCAACUAAGGCAAAAGUGAAAGCUUCUCAAAGUUCAUCAGUGCAUGUGAGUAGAGUUUCCAAGUCUAUUUGGUCACAGUUUUCCGGAAAACUUCAUCAGAAGAUAAUUUGCAGCCUCUGGUGCGUCAACACAGAGACCAGCAUCCACAGCAGCAAAGAAUAAUGGGAGCCAAUUGGUCGUAUAAGAUUGUCGGAGCGGUGGCAGGCGCAGUGACUGGAAGCUGUUUGGCCAUUUUAGUACUGGGGACCUCGGUCAUCAUUCUAAGUAAAGGAAUGGAGGUAUUUACAGUCAUCACGGGUGGAGGAGUUACAGGAGGAGCUGCGGCAGGAGCAGCGGCGAUGGCAGGGAACGUAGCUGCUGGUAUGGUUCUCGGAGCUCCGGCUGUAGGAGCAGUUGGAGGAGCCAUCCUCGGAUGGUAAGCAGCAGAAGACUCUGGUUCAAUGCGGGAUGCAAUGAAGAGAGCAGUAGAUGUUAACUUUGACAUGGCGAAACACACGAUUGAGAAUGUACACCAGUUUGCGGAUGUUGCUUUUAAAGCUAACAAAAUGGC